rnacentral:rRNA from 1 species
AUUGAACGCUGGCGGCAGGCCUAACACAUGCAAGUCGAGCGGAUGAAGGGAGCUUGCUCCUGGAUUCAGCGGCGGACGGGUGAGUAAUGCCUAGGAAUCUGCCUGGUAGUGGGGGAUAACGUCCGGAAACGGGCGCUAAUACCGCAUACGUCCUGAGGGAGAAAGUGGGGGAUCUUCGGACCUCACGCUAUCAGAUGAGCCUAGGUCGGAUUAGCUAGUUGGUGGGGUAAAGGCCUACCAAGGCGACGAUCCGUAACUGGUCUGAGAGGAUGAUCAGUCAGACGGGAAGUGAGACACGGUACAGACUAAGACGGGAGGCAGCAGUGGGGAAUGUGGGACGAUGGGCGAGAGUCUGAUCAAGUCAUGCAGAGUGUGGGAAGAAGGUCUUCGGAUUGUAAAGCAGUUGAAGUUGGGCAGAAGGGCAGUAAGUGAAUACCUGGCUGGUUUGACGUGACCAACAGAAUAAGCACCGGCUAACUUCGUG